AUUGAACGCUGGCGGCAGGCCUAACCCAUGCAAGUCGAACGAGUGGCGGACGGGUGAGUAAUGUCUGGGAAACUGCCGGAUGGAGGGGGAUAACUACUGGAAACGGUAGCUAAUACCGCAUAACCUCAGCUGUGCCCAGAUGGGAUUAGCUAGUAGGUGGGGUAAAGGCUCACCCAGGCGACGAUCACUAGCGGGUCUGAGAGGAUGACCAGCCACACUGGAACUGAGACAAGGGUCAGACUUCUACGAGAGGCAGCAGUGAGGAAUAUUGCACAAUGGGCGCAAGCGUGAUGCAGCCAUGCCGGGUGUAUGAAGAAGGCCAUCGGGUUGUAAGUACUUUCAGCGGGGAGGCGUUACCCUCAGAAGAAGCACCGGCUAACUCCGUGCCAGAAGCCGCGGUAAUAC
rnacentral:rRNA from 1 species